AAUGCGGGACUCUAAGAGGCCCCGUAAUUGGAAUGAGUACACCUUAAAUCGUUUAACGAGUAUCAAUUGGAGGGCAAGUCUGGUGCCAGCAGCCGCGGUAAUUCCAGCUCCAAUAGCGUAUAUUAAAGUUGCUGCAGUUAAAAAGCUCGUAGUUGGAUCUGGGGCUUGAGGUCGCUGUCUAUCGUUUCGGCGAUGACGGUGAUGCUCAGCUCUGCUUGCCGGUGACUGUUGCGGUGUUCUUCACUGAGCGCUGUAGCAGCACGGCACGUUUACUUUGAAAAAAUUAGAGUGCUCAAAGCGUGCUUGUCGCUUGAAUAAUGUUGCAUGGAAUAAUGGAAUAGGACCUCGGUUCUAUUUUGUUGGUUUUCGGAGCUUGAGGUAAUGAUUAAGAGGGACGAACGGGGGCAUUCGUAUUGCGGUGUUAGAGGUGAAAUUCUUGGAUCGCCGCAAGACGGACUACUGCGAAAGCAUUUGCCAAGAACGCUUUCAUUAAUUAAGAACGAAAGUCAGAGGUUCGAAGACGAUCAGACACCGUCCUAGUUCUGACCAUAAACGAUGCCGACCAGCGAUCCGUAGUGGUUGCUUUAUGGACCCUACGGGCAGCCUCCGGGAAACCAAAGUAUUUGGGUUCCGGGGGAAGUAUGGUUGCAAAGCUGAAACUUAAAGGAAUUGACGGAAGGGCACACCAGGAGUGGAGCCUGCGGCUUAAUUUGACCCAACACGGGAAAACUCACCCGGUCCGGACACCGUAAGGAUUGACAGACUGAUAGCUCUUUCUUGAUUCGGUGGAUGGUGGUGCAUGGCCGUUCUUAGUUGGUGGAGUGAUUUGUCUGGUUAAUUCCGAUAACGAACGAGACUCUAGCCUGCUAAGUAGUGUUGCUAUUGUUAUAUGGUUGACACUUCUUAGAGGGACAAGUGGCUUUUAGCCACGCGAAAUUGAGCAAUAACAGGUCUGUGAUGCCCUUAGAUGUCCGGGGCCGCACGCGCGCUACACUGGAGAAGUCAGCGUGUGUUAUCCAAGUCCGAAAGGACUGGGUAAUCCGUUGAACCUUCUUCGUGCUUGGGACCGUGGCUUGGAACUAUUCCACAUGAACGAGGAAUUCCUAGUAAUUGCAAGUCAUAAGCUUGCGUUGAUUACGUCCCUGCCCUUUGUACACACCGCCCGUCGCUACUACCGAUUGAAUGGUUUAGCAAGGUCCUCGGAUCGUGGCCGUAGGGGCACGCAAGUGUUUCUGCGGUUUGCGAGAAGACGACCAAACUUGAUCAUUUAGA
rnacentral:rRNA from 1 species